rnacentral:rRNA from 1 species
AGCUCCAAGAGCGUAUAUUAAAGUUGUUGCAGUUAAAAAGCUCGUAGUUGGAUUUCUGGUACAAUGCGCCUGGCCCGCGACGGUUACGUCAGUGAGUGCUGGUGCGCGUUUGCCAUCCUUCUAGAAAACGUUUCUACCCUUCACUGGGCCGGACUCGCGAUCUAGAUCUUUUACUUUGAAAAAAUUAGAGUGUUUAAAGCAGGCUUUUUGCUAUGAAUACAUUAGCAUGGAAUAAUAAUCUAGGACUUCGGUUCUAUUUUGUUGGUUUCUAGUACUGAAGUAAUGAUUGAUAGGGAUAGUUGGGGGUGCUAGUAUUGGCCGGCCAGAGGUGAAAUUCUUGGAUUCGGUCAAGACUAACUUAUGCGAAAGCAUUCACCAAGGAUGUCUUCUUUAAUCAAGA